rnacentral:rRNA from 1 species
GAUGAACGCUAGCGGCAGGCUUAAUACAUGCAAGUCGAGGGGCAGCAGGUCCGUAGCAAUACGGAUGCUGGCGACCGGCAAACGGGUGCGGAACACGUACACAACCUUCCUUCGAGCGGGGAAUAGCCCGGGGAAACCCGGAUUAAUACUCCAUAGUAUAUUGAAGAGGCAUCUCUUUACUAUUAAAGAUUUAUCACUUGAAGAUGGGUGUGCGGCUGAUUAGCUAGUUGGCGGGGUAACGGCCCACCAAGGCAACGAUCAGUAACUGGUGUGAGAG